rnacentral:lncRNA from 1 species
GAGAGGCCCUAUGUGGGCAGAGGCCCUGUUUGGGGACAGGCCCUGUGUGGGGAGAGGCCCUGUAGAGGAGGGAGGUGCAAUGGAGGAAGAAGCUCUCUGGAUGGGAGCCUUCCUGUUGAGAGAAGCUCCACAGAGGCAAGAGACCGAGGGAAAAAACCCUAUGGAGGGGAGAAGCCCCAUUAUGUGAACUAAACAGUGUUAAACAGUUGGACUUUGAGCCCUUUGUCCAGAUCUACCACUUCCUGGUUAUACAACCUUGGCCAAGGUCACUCUUGCCACUGAAACCAAGGACCAUAGUGGCACUCCAGGGUCUUUUGCACUAGGUACUAUAACUUCUUGCAGUGUGCAGCAGAUGGGCUGGCACAGGCUGAGUGUUCAGUACAUGCUGAUGUUGUCACUUGAGGCCCUGUGGCUGGUGAAGCAUACAGCAGGCAAAGUAAUUCUUUAAAUGCAGGAGACAUAAAAGCUGCUUUGCAAAUAAGGAAUGAGGCUAAGAAGAGAAGAAUCACUUAUCUUUAUUCCCAAAUAGCCCAAAGUGGAAAUCUACCGAGAGCCCACAGACAGCUGAAUGGAUAAAUGAAAUGCGAACCACGGGUUAAUUCCAUCGAGAUAUUAAUUCAGCUUGGAAAAAGGGGGAGAAUCUGAAACACUUACAUGGAUGAACUGCAAGGCUAUCAGGCUAUGUGAAACAAGCUCUUCCAAAGAGACUGUCCCUGCCCAUCCUCUGCUGGAUUACGGGACUGUCAUCUCCUGGAGACACCAUAGCCUGAGGCCUCUGGCCUCCUUUUUGUUCCCUGGGGACCACAGCCAUGGCACCAGCUGCAGUUAUCCUGAGUUUACCUCUGCUGAUCUGUACCAGAAACUUUAAGGAAGACGGUGUGCAGAGCGGCAAAGGAAGAACAUACAAGGCCAGGUUGCAGAAAUGAACCCCAUAGACAAUGCACUGCUCUCCUUGAAAAAGGGUCUUGAUGGGAAAACAAAUGCACAGAUAAGAUAUUCUCAAGUAUUGAUAAGAAUGGGGAGCCAAGAAACAACACAAGAUUGGGAAGGUAGACUGCUAUAAACUGGGCAUCAGGGAAAGUAUAUCUGGAUAGUUGACACACCUGGCCCUGGAACAAGGAGGAGCCAGCUAGGCAAAGAUCUAGAGGGCCUGUGCAAAGCAUCAGCAAGUGCAAAGGUCCUGAGGCUGGAGUCCAUAUGCCUUCUGGGGCUUUUGACCAACACAAUCUGAAUCACCAGGGUUGUUUCCUUAAGGAAACCACUUUCAGUCCUUUGUGAACUUCCUCACUGCCUCCUAAUCCUCCUCAUCCAAGUUAAUUUCUAAUCACUACGAAUUCUUUCUUUUAGGAAAUUCUUCCAAAAACUUUAGGAAGUUCUAGUAAUCCAUGGGUUAUGAAAAACUGGCCUGUGAUUCAGUAACAAAAACAAAGUUAGGGGGUUGGGGAGACAGCACAGUCGGUAAAAGCAUCUGCAUGUAAGUAUGAGAAGUUAAGUUUGGGUCCCCAGUACCCACAUUUAAAAAACCAGUGUGAUCAGGGGUAUAUGCCUUUUUCUUUUGUUUUUGUUUUCUAUUUACUUUGAGACAGGGUCUUACUAUGUGGCUUUAGGUGUCUGGAAUCCACUAUAUAGAACACACUGGCCUUGAACUCAGAUAUCUGCCUGCCUCUGCCUCC